CCUUAGCUCUAGGGUGGGGCCUGAGUUUUGCAUUCUAGCAAGCUGCUGGUCCAUGGACCACACUUGAGGAGCAAGGCUUCUGAGGACCUGCUCAUCUUUAGAGAUUUAUCUCAAGAUAAGUCAUUUAAGCCUUCUCCCUCCCUCCACACCGCUAAUAAAAUUGACCUUUUCUUUUUCUGUGCACCUGAUGUACCCUAAUCCAAUCUCUAUAAUUAUACCUAUAAAUUAUUUAUUGCAUGUAUGUGUUUAUGUGCCUGCCUAUAAAUGCUCUUCUGGUAAGAAACAUGUCUUAACUUUUCCUUCCUGGAGCACUAUGGCAGUGUUGGAAAUAAAGUAAACUUUGUCCAUCUGCUCUCAUUUCAUGUAAUACAGUCCCUAAGACUGUGUGCAUGUGUUUCUUUUUGUAGGAGUUAGGUUGCAAUGUGAAGGGUUCAUUAUGUUGAAAGAGAGGGUUGCUUUUCACAAAGACUUCUGGCUUAUAAGGGAUUCCCAGAGAAGGAUUAAGUGCCAUAUUUUGAUAGACUUUUGUAUUCCAUGUUCAAAUUGGUCUCAUGAUGUCAUCUUUUCAAUUUCUGUUGCCAGUUUUGGGGAAAAAUAACUGAAUUCCUUCAGUUUUAAUCUUUCAAGUUUGUUCAGCAGUUCCAUUUGCCAAUACAAAGGACAUCUGGAAGUUGUAUGUUAUCUCUUAUUACAGAUUGGUAAAUAUCAUCCAGGGCUUUUCUGCCUUAAAGGCAGUCUGCCAGCUGUUUGAAGAGAUCGAAUCUCAUUUAGAGGAAGGAAAGCACAGAAGACGGAGGAUAACUGCAUGGAAAUUAUAGCAUAUGGCAGACACAGAAACCAUCACAAACCAAAGCAGGAAAUAACAAAGUCAAAUCAAUGGUGGAAGCAGAAAGGUCAGAAGACUUGGAAGAAGGGUGGAUAUAAAUCAGGAAGGCUUCAUAGAGGAUUUGGGAUUUUUAAGAAUGAAUUCAGAUAAAGAGGGAGGGGCUAGGCAAAAUUGGGAAAUGUUGGUCAAAGAGUAGAAACUCUCAGUUAUAAGAUGAAUAAGUUCUGGGGAAUCUAAUAUAUGGCAUGAUGACUAUAGUAAUAAAACUGUAUUGUUUACUUAACCA
rnacentral:lncRNA from 13 species